AUUGAACGCUGGCGGCAGGCCUAACACAUGCAAGUCGAACGAGUGGCGGACGGGUGAGUAAUGUCUGGUAAACUGCCCGAUGGAGGGGGAUAACUACUGGAAACGGUAGCUAAUACCGCAUACCAUCUGAUUUACCCAGAUGGGAUUAGCUAGUAGGUGUGGUAACGGCUCACCUAGGCGACGAUCCCUAGCUGGUCUGAGAGGAUGACCAGCCACACGGGAACGGGUAAACGGUCCAGACGCCUCGGGGAGGAAUCAGUGGGGAAUAUCGCACAAGGGGCGCAAGCCGGAUGCAGCCAUGCGGCGUGUAUGAAGAAGGCCUUCGGGUGGUAAAGUACUUGCAGCGAGGAGGCGUUACUCGAAGAAGAAGCAACGGCUAACUCCGUGCCAGCAGCCGCGGUAAUAC
rnacentral:rRNA from 1 species